rnacentral:rRNA from 1 species
UACGAAGGGUGCAAACGUUGCUCGGAAUUAUUGGGCGUAAAGCGCACGUAGGCGGCAUAGCAAGUCUGAUGUGAAAUCCCUCGGCUUAACCAAGGAAGUGCAUCGGAAACUGCUGUGCUUGAGUACGAAAGAGGAUCGCGGAAUUCCUGGUGUAGCGGUGAAAUGCGCAGAUAUCAGGAAGAACACCCGUGGCGAAGGCGGCUCUCUGGGACGGUACUGACGCUGAGACGCGAAAGCGUGGGGAGCGAACAGG